GUUUUGUAAAAUAUUUUCAUUUUGUUUAAUAGAUCUGAAAUAUUUGUUUUAAACAAAUUAUACUACUGACAUAAAAUACAAAUAAUAUAAUAAAUAAUAAAAAGUUAAAAUAAAUCAAUUAAAAGGGUAAAAUAAAUAAACAAAUAAAUAAAUAAUAACUUUUUAAAAAGUAAGCAAAUUUAUUAAUAAAUAAAUAUUAACUUUAAUCACCAAUAGAGCAGUUUCAGUUUACAUCCCAGAGACAUCUGGGUUUCCCCUUCAGUGCUACUUUCUUUGUAAAUGGAAUCAUGGCAGCCAGGAUCAGUUCCUGCUGCGAGUACAGAUUUGCCCCUGGCUUUCAGCAAGGCCGCAGGAGCUGCUUCAGACUGACCCGUCUAAAUGGAGGAAAACCCUGCUACAAGUGAGAUACAGUAUGAUGGCAUGCAUCAUCAAGAAAAAGAUUUAAAGCAGGAUUUCUUCUCAAGACCAAAUGGGUUGUCAUUGCAAACAUUUUCUCUUUUUACAGAUGUGUGAAUUCAAGGCACGGUAUUGGCACCCAAGCGAUCGAUAGUCCAGCUCUAGCCUUGCAACAAUCCAUCAGUUCUAAUGAAGGUAUUAUGGAGUCGUGCCUUCUUCCCCUUUGUUCGUCCCUCUUGGAAUGGAAAGAUCGGUGCAGAAGAUCAGAAAGCUCUCUAAAGAUGGAGGUGCUUUGUCUACAGACAGUGAAGAUGUAAAUAGCAGUGCAAAAGAAAGAAAACGUCACAAACACCAUAAAGGACCACGCAGCCAGCAAGGAGAGGGCAAAAGUUUGGAAGAAUCGCAAGCACAUAAAAAUGGGAAUGAACCUGAAGACAAACCACCUUCCAACACCAAAGAACAACUGCAAACAUCAGCAAAAGAACAUGUGCAAGGCAAGGAGAAUUCAGUGACUGAAAACAAACCUAAAGUGCCAGAUUCAUUGCAGGAAGGAAAAACCCUGACUAAGCGCGACGGCGAGAAAACAAUGGAUGCUUCGAAAUCGCAUGGAAAAAGCAGGAACAGGGAAAGACUGAGGGACUUCUAUAAAGAAUGUGUUGAAAUGAGCACUGGUCUGGAAUCAGGCCUAGAGCAACAGAGGUGGUUCAAAGUAAACAGUGAGUCAAGAACUGCGGCUCAUUGCUCACAGACAAGGUUUCCCCCUGAAGCUUUCAGCCUGAUAUUGUGGGAGUCAAUCAUUUUGCCAUAA
ensembl:lncRNA